rnacentral:rRNA from 2 species
CCUGAUCCAGCCAUGCCGCGUGUGUGAAGAAGGCCUUUUGGUUGUAAAGCACUUUAAGCGAGGAGGAGGCUACUCUAGUUAAUACCUAGGGAUAGUGGACGUUACUCGCAGAAUAAGCACCGGCUAACUCUGUGCCAGCAGCCGCGGUAAUACAGAGGGUGCGAGCGUUAAUCGGAUUUACUGGGCGUAAAGCGUACGUAGGCGGCUUUUUAAGUCGGAUGUGAAAUCCCUGAGCUUAACUUAGGAAUUGCAUUCGAUACUGGGAAGCUAGAGUAUGGGAGAGGAUGGUAGAAUUCCAGGUGUAGCGGUGAAAUGCGUAGAGAUCUGGAGGAAUACCGAUGGCGAAGGCAGCCAUCUGGCCUAAUACUGACGCUGAGGUACGAAAGCAUGGGGAGCAAACAGGAUUAGAUACCCUGGUAGUCCAUGCCGUAAACGAUGUCUACUAGCCGUUGGGGCCUUUGAGGCUUUAGUGGCGCAGCUAACGCGAUAAGUAGACCGCCUGGGGA